UGCGUAGGUGGUUUCUUAAGUCAGAGGUGAAAGGCUACGGCUCAACCGUAGUAAGCCUUUGAAACUGGGAAACUUGAGUGCAGGAGAGGAGAGUGGAAUUCCUAGUGUAGCGGUGAAAUGCGUAGAUAUUAGGAGGAACACCAGUUGCGAAGGCGGCUCUCUGGACUGUAACUGACACUGAAGCACGAAAGCGUGGGGAGCAAACA
rnacentral:rRNA from 1 species